UGGGGAAUUUUGGACAAUGGGCGCAAGCCUGAUCCAGCCAUGCCGCGUGCGGGAAGAAGGCCUUCGGGUUGUAAACCGCUUUUGUCAGGGAAGAAAUCUUCUGAGUUAAUACCUCGGGAGGAUGACGGUACCUGAAGAAUAAGCACCGGCUAACUACGUGCCAGCAGCCGCGGUAAUACGUAGGGUGCAAGCGUUAAUCGGAAUUACUGGGCGUAAAGCGUGCGCAGGCGGUUUAGUAAGACAGAGGUGAAAUCCCCGGGCUCAACCUGGGAACUGCCUUUGUGACUGCAAGGCUUGAGUGCGGCAGAGGGGGGAUGGAAUUCCGCGUGUAGCAGUGAAAUGCGUAGAUAUGCGGAGGAACACC
rnacentral:rRNA from 1 species